CCUUCCUGUCCGCCUGCCUUCUGCCCUCGCACCGCCCCCAGCCGCCGCCCAAGGCUCUUCGUCCACUCGGGAAGUGUCUGCAGGAGGCCGAGACGCCGUCGUGAGACACCCACACCUCAGCAUUGUUGAGGUCCACUUGUGGUAAUGACGCCAGUGAAAGAAACUUGCCAAAGAACUGCUCGUGGCAUUCCGGUGGCAGCUUGCCACUUCUACAACCUCACCUCAGGCCAGUUAGUGAACCUUGCGGGUUCUUCAGGAUUACACUACAGCUUCUGGUUUCUAUUUGGUGUUUGCUAUGGAACUGAACUGCUGACAAAGAGGAUCAAGCUUGCUCCCAAACAGACCACUUUGGUCUCUCCAGCUGUGCAACCACCUGGAUCUCCCCAGCUGUGCAACCACCUGGAUCUCUCCAGCUGUGCAACCACCUGGGUCUCUCCAGCUGUGCACAGCUUUGCUUAAGGACCUCUGACUACCAUCUCCGAGCUCUACCAGGUACAUUCAGAACAUAUAGCUGCCAAAACAUCCCAGUUGGAAUUUCUCAGGACAGCUGGAGAUUAUUUGGACCUAGCUAGAACAAUCUAGAAAGUUCUGGAACAAGCCACAGCCAACAAGGAACAGGUCCACUGGCAAGUUGCUGGCAUAAAAGACAUGUGCUAGUGAUCCUAUUACUCUGAAGACAGAAGGAUAAGGAUCAACAGUUCCAGGUAAGCCUAAGUUAUACAAUGAGAUUGUGUCUCAAUCAAUCAAUAAAAAAGGAACCAUGUGGUCCCAUGGGCC
rnacentral:lncRNA from 1 species